rnacentral:rRNA from 1 species
GGAGUUAGCCGGUGCUUCUUCUGUGAGUGAUGUCCUUCCUGCCGGCUAUUAACCCGCAGGCCUUCUUCCUCACUGAAAGUGCUUUACAACCCGAAGGCCUUCUUCACACACGCGGCAUGGCUGGAUCAGGGUUGCCCCCAUUGUCCAAUAUUCCCCACUGCUGCCUCCCGUAGGAGUCUGGGCCGUGUCUCAGUCCCAGUGUGGCUGAUCAUCCUCUCAGACCAGCUACGGAUCGUCGCCUUGGUGAGCCGUUACCUCACCAACCAGCUAAUCCGACAUAGGCUCAUCCGAUAGCGCGAGGCCCGAAGGUCCCCCGCUUUCCCCCGUAGGGCGUAUGCGGUAUUAGCCUGGGUUUCCCCAGGUUAUCCCCCACUACCGGGCAGAUUCCUAUGCAUUACUCACCCGUCCGCCGCUCGCCACCAGGGAGCAAGCUCCCCGUGCUGCCGCUCGACUUGCAUGUGUUAGGCCUGCCGCCAGCGUCAUCUGAGCAGAUACAACUACUGA